rnacentral:lncRNA from 1 species
AAUUGUGCUGAGAAACAAAGGAGAGUGGAUGAAGAACACAGCAGCCUGCCUCCACAGCUUUGGAAUCGAUGUGCAAAUAAUUUCCUUGGGAGGAACUCUUUAUAUACAAGAGGAUUCACUCCAAAUUGUACACCACACUCAGGCAUGGGACUAAGAUAAUGAAAGAGAGGCACCUGACUCAAGCAAUGGAUGUCGGAGCAGAAGACUAGAAGGCAAAGCAAGUACAUGCUACCUGUCUGGGCAAGACCUUUCAGUGCCUUUCCAUAUUUCAAUGGGUAGUCAUCUGCACACCUUCCAGUCUUUUCUUCUGUAUUGCAAAGGCUAGAAGCCUUGGUACUAUAUUUAUCAAACUUACUUUUUUUUUUUUUAACAAAUCUUCAAUGUGAUUCUCAUUUUGCUAAGAUACAUUUGUAUGAAAUUUUGAGAUAGAAAAGUAUGAAUAAGAAAGCAUUGCCUUCUUUCUCAGUGGCAGCACACAAACAUAUGGACUUCACAGACACGACAUUUUGCAGCAACUUCUAGAUCUUCCCCCUGUGAGUGCCCUGGGACAUCAUUACAAUAAAUAAACCAUUCAGGAAGUCAAAGGAUGGUAGUUUUCACAGAAGCAUUGCAAGCAUUGAGAAGAAAAAUAAUCCAUAUCUAGUAGGUUUAUUUUUAUGAGGAUAAAUCUCUGGCCUCUCCAUAUGGAAAAGGAUCUCCUGUAAGUUAAUCCUGCCAUCAGGUUGCUGGCUGGUUUGCCUGGGAUAUAAAGCCCUAUUAGUGAGCCAGUGGUGACCUUUGCUGCUGUCUGGUUAGAUGCGCAGCAGCACUGCAGUCACCCUUUCUGAGGGAAAGUUCACGUUUUGAAGCCUAGGUAGAAAUUCUCUCUGUACCACCAUGGUUUCACUGAAUGUGAGUCAAUUGAGGCAUCACCAGGGUGGCAAAAAGUUAUCAAGUCAAGCCCAGUCAACUCAGAAAAUUCAUCUCAGAAUUCCAUUUUACGUCAAUUUCCUGGCAUAAUGUUGAAACACUCUGCCCUUUAGUAUCUGGAACAAUGUCUAACACAAUAAUGCUUAACGCCGGGGAAAUGAGGGCAUAGGUCUGAAUCUCCGGAGAUUCCUUUUAUGGGGAAUAUCUUUUAACACCCCUUAGGAAACAACAUCAACUCACUAAAGACAGUACCAAUAAGGUCUCCUGCCUUCCCCAGGAAUAAAGAUUUAAAUCACACCAGCUCAAUGCUGGUUGAGGGCAAGGGAACAAUGAAUGGCUUGUGGAAGGGGAAAGUUAAAAAUGCAAAUUACAACUUUGUGCCCCAUUUAAGGAAAGAGAACUUGAAUAGCUAUGCAUAUUUGUGUUUUCUUCCUUGCUUUGUUAUGUACAUAUUUGUAUAUAUCAGCCACUAACUUCUUAUCUUUCCUUCAUUCUUCACUUACUAAUUUACAUAAGGUACUGGUAGUUCAUAUAAAUUCAUUUUUAGAGACUAAAUAUAAAAGCAGAAUUGCAACUGAACUUAAGCAAGAAUCAUUAUCACCCAGGGCUAGAUUUGGUGACUAAUAGAAGUUUGGAUCUCUAUUUUUAGAGGAGGGAUUGAGAAAAUUUUUGUAUGGGGAAUAAUUCUAUUCUAUUAGCAAGAAUCGUGUUGUUUUUUGCCAUUGCUGCUAAUUAAAAUUUUAAAUAUUGUCAAAAGUG